rnacentral:misc_RNA from 1 species
GCAAACUUGGUCAUUUAGAGGAAGUAAAAGUCGUAACAAGGUUUCCGUAGGUGAACCUGCGGAAGGAUCAUUAUCGAGUAAAGUGGCCCCAAUGCGGGGCCCAUACUCCACCCUUUGUAUAGACUUGCGGAAUUGCCUUGGCCGGGGAAAGCCGGCCAGAGGGAAAACGAAACACGGUUAUUUGUGGUCUGAGGUUGGGCUAUGAAGAAAAAAAAACUUUCAACAACGGAUCUCUUGGUUCUGGCAUCGAUGAAGAACGCAGC